rnacentral:rRNA from 1 species
AGGGAGGCGCCCCCUGGGAAUUGCAAUGGGAACCGUACCAGCAUCGUUACAUAAGGCCUUGGUGUAGCCAUGCAGGAAGAACGUCAUGUAUCUUGGUACUGACGUACUGCAGAAUAAGCACGCUAACUACGUGCAGCAGCCGCGUAAUACGUAGGGUGCAAGCGUAAUCGAAUACUGGGCGUAAAGCGUGCGCCAGGCGGUCGGUAAGAAAGAUGUGAAAUCCAGAGCUAACUUUGGAACUGCAUUUUUACUACCGAGCUAGAGUGUGUCAGAGGGGAGGUGGAAUUCCGCGUGUAGCAGUGAAAUGCGUAGAUAUGCGGAGGAGCACCGAUGGCGAAGGCAGCCUCCUGGGAUAACACUGACGCUCAUGCACGAAAGCGUGGGGAGCAAACAGGAUUAGAUACCUGGUAGUGCACGCCCUAAACGAUGUCAACUAGCUGUUGGGGCCUUCGGGCGUUAGUAGCGCAGCUAACGCGUGAAGUUGACCGCCUGGGGAGUACGGUCGCAAGAUUAAAACUCAAAGGAAUUGACGGGGACCCGCACAAGCGGUGGAUGAUGUGGAUUAAUUCGAUGCAACGCGAAAAACCUUACCUACCCUUGACAUGUCUGGAAGGCCGAAGAGAUUUGGCUGUGCUCGCAAGAGAACCGGAACACAGGUGCUGCAUGGCUGUCGUCAGCUCGUGUCGUGAGAUGUUGGGUUAAGUCCCGCAACGAGCGCAACCCUUGUCAUUAGUUGCUACGAAAGGGCACUCUAAUGAGACUGCCGGUGACAAACCGGAGGAAGGUGGGGAUGACGUCAAGUCCUCAUGGCCCUUAUGGGUAGGGCUUCACACGUCAUACAAUGGUCGGGACAGAGGGUCGCCAACCCGCGAGGGGGAGCCAAUCCCAGAAACCCGAUCGUAGUCCGGAUCGCAGUCUGCAACUCGACUGCGUGAAGUCGGAAUCGCUAGUAAUCGCGGAUCAGCAUGUCGCGGUGAAUACGUUCCCGGGUCUUGUACACACCGCCCGUCACACCAUGGGAGUGGGUUUUACCAGAAGUAGUUAGCCUAACCGCAAGGGGGGCGAUUACCACGGUAGGAUUCAUGACUGGGGUGAAGUCGUAACAAGGU